rnacentral:rRNA from 1 species
AAUCAACGCUGGCGGCGUGCCUAACACAUGCAAGUCGAACGCGACUGGGGCUUCGGCCUCAGUUGAGUGGCGAACGGGUGAGUAACACGUGGGUGACCUACCUUCGAAUGGGGGAUAACGUCCCGAAAGGGACGCUAAUACCGCAUAACAUCCUGCCUUUGAACAGGCGGAGAUCAAAGCCGGGGAUCGCAAGACCUGGCGUUUGAAGAGGGGCCUGCGUCCGAUUAGCUAGUU